GGCGUGCUGGCGCAAUGGUAGCGCGUGUGCCUCCUAAGCACAAGGUUGCAGGUUCGAGUCCUGCGUACGUCG
rnacentral:tRNA from 1 species